ensembl:lncRNA
UUUUUUUUUCUUUGGAUUUUGCUCUUCUGGUUUGCUACUGUCGCUGUUGCUCAUGUAUUAAAAUUAACCUCUUUUCCUAAGAAUCCUGGUACUUUCUGUUUGCAAACCUAUUCCCAUGUACUGCUGUCUUUUUAAGCCACGAGUUCUCUUGCAGUAGAACCAGGGUAAGAGUUUGCUGUGCCGUCACUGCUCUCCCACUGCUACGGGAUGAUCAUCCUUCUGAACUGGAAGUGUGUGACCCUUUUUGAGAGUUGGUUCUUGUGAACAGUUGAAGUGAGAGAUGCUUCUCAGCACUGCUGAGUCUAUUACAGAAAACGUGUUUGUUAUUUAACAAAACUCACUUGUGUCUGUGGGCUUUAGAAUGCCUUUCUUAUGAUCACUCCUACCAUGCUGAAGUUUCUAUGGUGUCAGGUGCUGUUGCCUGCCUUGAGUUGUAAGAAGAAUGGUGCCCCUGGUUCCAGUGCAAGCAUGGCCAAACAAAUGGGCCAGUUUUAUGAGCAAAAGUAAUGGAUUUUCAGUUGGGGUAUAACAGAUAGAGGCAAUUUACAUCAAUGAAUGCUUACUAAUAUUUUCAUGCUUUUGUUGAAGAAAUUAUAGCAUAAAUUUAUUCCUUCCUCCUCUUCUAGCUUGUAUAUCUGAAAACGGGAAUCACUUUGGUUUUCAAGGAUCACUGGAUACUCACGGAGCAUCUAAACCCAAAAAGUGAUAAUCAUAUUUUAGAAGGCAAGCGAAAAUCACUCCUAACUCUUCCUGUGAGUUGUGUUGUGAAUGGCAUAGUUUGAAUUGCAGAGAAUUGUUGUAGAAGUGUGUUUAGAAAACAUAUUCAAGGAAAGAGUUGAAAACAGGCUUAGUGAACCGAUGGGUUAGGUUUCAUUCUGCCUUUAUCCUUAGCAAAAAGUCUGUCUGAUUAAUGACAUUCUUCAGCAUUUGACAAAAAGGGAAACUCCUGUGACUUCCACGCUUUGCCGAGGCUGGAUUAGGAGUCAGGGAACAGGGAGAGCUGCUGCGCAUGGGCAGAACAGCGUGGAAGAGCUUGCACUAAACUUGACCCAUAUCAGUGCUGCCAAUCUGUCAUUAUUCACAAACACGAGAGACGUCACAUGGCUGGCCCUGCACCCAGCGUUGCUCCAGAAAAUGCUAAAGGCUGGCUUAAUGGAGAGACUUAAUGAAGGGAUUGAUUAUUUCGGUAUUUCCUCCCUUGCCUCCAAGUCUGCUUCAUUCUUGGCUGAGAGGGUUUCGCCUUUCAGACCCUGCCGUGAGGGCAGCAUUUGCCUGUGCUCCGCUGGGAUGAGCUCACAUCGUGAGUACAGCAGCGAAACUGAAGCAUGCAUGAGAUUUGUAAAUGUAAUGAAGGGGGGUAAGGCACGUUUGAAGAUCGUGUUCUGUCCCGUGUACUGGCCUUUGCUAGUAGAAUUCUUAGCGACUGAAAACACAACAGGUACACUGAAAGGGUAUACUGACAGACAUAUUUUAGAACAAUGUUUUAAGUUCCCUUUGAACUGCUUUUUCGUUGACAACAUCUGUGAGAAUGUAUAGUUAUCGUUAUCCUUUCAACUAUACUUAACUAUAAUAAUGGCUGUUUACAAGGGUAAAUAGUGAUAGGACAAGGGGGAAUGGUCUUAAACUGAGACAGGGGAGGUUUAGGUUGGAUAUUAGGAGGAAGUUCUUCACCCAGAGGGUGGUGAUGCACUGGAACAGGUUGCCCAAGGAGGUUGUGGAUGCCCCAUCCCUGGAGGCAUUCAAGGCCAGGCUGGAUGUGGCUCUGGGCAGCCUGGUCUGGUGGUUGACAACCCUGUACAUAGCAGGGGGGUUGAAACUGGAUGAUCAUUGUGGUCCUUUUCAACCCAGGCCCUUCUAUGAUUAUAUGAUAAUAAUGAGAAUAGUAGAAAUAUGCUCUUCAAGAAUGGAUAGAUGUGAGCAGGACCAGCAAUCUAUGGCAGCACUAACCUUACGCAAAGAGCUGUGAUGUGAAACCCAGUGGAAAUUUUGCUGUGCGUGAAGCUCAUUGAGUGUGUGUCAUCCUGCCUGGCUCAGAGCCUGGGAUAAACACCUCUACCUUCUUCUGGGACACAUAAAGUGGCUUUGAGAAAAGCUUUUCCUAAGCCUCUUCAGGUGAAAAUCUAAUACCAAAUCAUUUCUGCUGCGCUUUAUUAGAGAUGCUUGCAACUGAAUUGCUGUAGAUUGCCUUUUAAAUCUGAUCUCGCAUUUUAAAAGUUGCGACGGGAAAAUGUCAGUGAUAUAUGUCCAGCCCUCUGUCAGAUGUGAAGGAAAACACAGUUUAUCGGUGACCUGCUAACAGCAGAGAAGCCACUGACUAGUUGCAUGCCCAUACUAACAUCAGUAACUGCACGGAGUACAUCAGACACGCUAGUAGGAAGAGCUGAGACAUCAUCAGGUCCUGCUCUGGCAAAAGAAGUAACGGG